GACGGGGGAUGCAAGUGUUAUCCGGAAUCACUGGGCGUAAAGCGUCUGUAGGUGGUUAAGUAAGUCAACUGUUAAAUCUUGAGGCUCAACCUCAAAAUCGCAGUCGAAACUGCUUGACUAGAGUAUAGUAGGGGUAAAGGGAAUUUCCAGUGGAGCGGUGAAAUGCGUAGAUAUUGGAAAGAACACCGAUGGCGAAGGCACUUUACUGGGCUAUUACUAACACUGAGAGACGAAAGCUAGGGUAGCAAAUGGGAUUAGAUACCCCAGUAGUCCUAGCUGUAAACAAUGGAUACUAGAUGUUGAACAGAUCGACCUGUGCAGUAUCAAAGCUAACGCGUUAAGUAUCCCGCCUGGGAAGUAUGCUCGCAAGAGUG
rnacentral:rRNA from 1 species